UUUUAGGCAACUUCUAGCAAGAGUACAAGAUAUUCAUAAACCAUUUGCACAGAUUAUAAGUUAAAAUCAAUUAAAGAAAGAGGCAAAGAAAGGAAGACAAUAUUAGGAGAAGCAAGUCAAGAAAAGCUGCAGCAUUUAGACGUCUGCUUCCCUUGUAAGAAGAAGAGACACUGGAGCUCUCUCUCUCCACCAUGUGAGGACACAGGGAGAAGGCAGCCAUCUGCAAGCCAAGAAGAGAGCUCUCAGCAAGAAUGGAAUCAGCCAGCACCUUGAUCUUGGACUUCCCAGCCUCCAGAACUGUAAUCUACAUUUCACUGUAUGAUCUAUUCUUCCAUUUAAAAGAAGAGUUUGCCAGGAAAGCCGCUGUCUCAAGAAUAUCGAGGAGCGGAUGCUUUCCAGACCUCAACUCCUCACUCCCGGCGCUUGAACCCGCCUCAAACAGGAAGACGAGACAAGAGACAACGGCGAAGGAUGCCCACCUGCCAUCCUCCUAUCUCACCCUCCCCCGCGGCCUUGCUGCAAGCAGCCUCUCAACGCCAAACUCAGGCUGGUGGGAAAGCACCCACCUGCACAAGCUACAUGCGCCCCCUCCCCUACCCAAAACCCCAAAUAAAAAUCCCUACCCAUUCCUCAUCGGGGAGCUAGCAAUUUUUGAGGCAUGAGCCCUUGCUUUGCUCCCUGUGCCUGGCAUAGUAAAAACCUUU
rnacentral:lncRNA from 1 species